CAGGCGUAUAACACACACUAUUCUUAUAUGCUGCUUGUUCUGGAGGAGUGUGUCUCCGGAGAAAGAAGAGAUUUCGUGCAGCUGUACCUAUAAAAGCGGAAAAGAAACCAAUAACAUUUAUAGAGACUUUAUCUAGAAGUGUAAGGGACCCCAAACAAUAAGAGAAGAAUCAGAGAACUUCAAGCAGGAGCAGCAACGAACGGGAAGAAACAAGUCAUUGUGGUGAUUGAUAAUGUGAAGGACAGCAGCAAAAAGGCAAAGAAAGAAAGAAUGAAAGAGAUCAGCCAUAACGGUCUUAAAACUUUGCUCUUGUUCAGUAAUAGAGAUAGAAGUUCAAUCAAUGAUGGCAGAUCUGAAAAUUAAGUGGAAAUUAACCUGAAGUGUAUAAAAAAAGUCUUGAAAAAUCAAAAAGCCACAAAAUCACCACCAGGGAAGCUCCUAAAUAUAAAAAAAACAUUUGACAGUUGCAAUUUGCUCCAGAGAAUCCACUGAAAACUAUGAAUGGAUAAUAAACCUUCUACAAACAGAAGAAUUCAACAGUCUAGUGAAAGAACCCCAGUCUAUAAACAUCUCAAACAAUUUCUCCCAAUUCCUAAAUGACGUCUCUGGUUAUACAUUUGCCAUCCUGUAUCACUCCAAGAGAAGAGGGAGAUUAAACAUCACCGACGUGACAGACUCACUCUAUGAUAAAGAACUGGAAUACCUGUAUGGAAUUUUGGGAAAAGACAAAGUAAUUGUGGUUAUUGAUGAUCUGGUCGACUCCAGUGAGUCAGAGAAGAACAGAAUCCUACAGAGCCAGAAGAGCAUUGGCCAGUGGGCGAGUGACCUGUUCCUCUUUAGUGUCAGUGAUAAAGACUCCAUCAAAUCUCAAUCCCAAGAUAAAGAUGUGGAGGAAAAGAGGAAAAAACUGUAUAAUAUUCUAAGUCAAGCCACAAAAUCCAAGCUAAGGCCAAGGCAGCCUGAAUAAACAUGUGUUCAAAUGGACUUCUAUGACUUAUCAUAAGGAUCACGUAUGUUUGGAUACAUUUUAUGAACUAUUGGUACUGUAAUUUAUAUAGAAAUCGAUGAUGUAUAGCUUGAUAAAAGACAAUGUUAGUUGAAUCACUGCUGUAAUGCUUUAUAAAAUACAAUAAAGACAUUUUAA